CUGGAUGACCUGUACCCUUGACACUCUGCCCUUGUCCCCUCUGAAAAUCAUAACUUCAUCUACGGGACAGGCCUUUAUGUUUUGUGAUUGUUCCAAGUCCUCCAGAAGCUGGGGAAACCCAGGGGGAAGAGCUUACAGACUGCUUAGGGCUCUGAUUCGCUGGGCAUUGACAGAUUUUGAAGGGGGCGUGAGGUGGUCUGAGCUAGCACAAUGCUUCCAGAGGGUGUCUCCUUCCUCCUUCAGUCUGACUCGCUCUAAAUGAGCACUCUAUCACCUAAGGAUUCCUCAAUAAUGCAAGAAGUAGAAGACCCUAGACAAAAACAAACUACAGCACUCACAGUCACUGAGACUGGCAUAUGGUGCAAAUGGAGAUCAACCUGAGCUGAAAUUUCUGGGUAGCAGGGAGACAAUUGCUUCAAGCAGCCAGUAAGGGCAUCCAGUUUAAGUCUAGCCGUUCUCUGUGCAGCGCCCUCUGGUGGUUAGGAUAUAUUGUAGUUUAAAAAGCUGGAUCAUGAAACUGAAUGUUAAUAAAUAGUCAAAAAAUAAAUAAAUAAAUAAAUAAAUAAAUAAAUAAAUAAAUAAAUAAAUUAAAUAAAUAGUCAAUAUUUAGUCAUCACUUUCCAUGUUCCAGGCCCUUUUCCAAAUAACUUAAAUCUAUUCUAUGAUUUAAUUCUAACAAAAUCCUAUGGAGAUAUGCAUAUAUUUGCCCUUUCUACGAAGGAGGACAUUAAUACUUACAGAGGUUAAUUAACUUAACCCAGAUCACAUUGCUAAUUAUGGGGAUGCUGGGAUUCUAUAUUAAAUGUUUGGUUCUUAUCUGCUACAUAUAUCUACAGUUAUAAAUAAAUGUGUAGAAUAUGAGCAAAACAUUGACUUAUGAGGACCUUAGAGAUCAUCUGGUGCUCACCCAUAUUUCAUGAAUAAAUGAAAGCCCAGAAGGAGAGGUACAAAGUUACCUACUGAACAAUCUGAGCUGAAUUCCUGGGUCCCCGGGCUCUAAUUUUUGUUCUUCUGAUUGCACAAAAGCUGCCUGCCUUAUUUGAUUUAAUUUGCCUCUCUUGUGAUUGUGUGACAUUUCCCCAGGAUAGUAAGACAGCCCUACCUAUCCUUAGAAGAAAAAAAAGGGGAAGGACGGAAUAAUCUCUACCAAAUUUGACAACUCAUUAACUACACUUUAUUAAAAAGAUUUAAUUGCUUGCCUUAUAUCCUGUUUUCAGCUUUCUUCUUCAGUAGCAAAUAUCAAUUAAAUUCUAAUAACAAAGAGUCUUACUGCAGUUGACAAAUAAUCCUUUUUAGGAGAAUUGCCCUCAGUGACUCUCCACAGGCAAAAUUUACAAUUCUUUCAGCCACAAUUCUUUGCCGCUGUUUCCUCUAACAUCGGAUGUGACAGGUCUGCCAGGACAAGAAACAGGCUUGCCCUUUGAGGGCAUUUUCCCAUAUAAUGAGGUGGCCCCUGCAGAAAUCACUCUGCCAGUAGUGACAGGCCACUAUAACUCCUGAGGGCUGACCAUACAGUGGCCUAUAAUUUACCCAGCUGACCAGCAACAGUGUGGGACCAAUUUCCUAGGAUGAUGUUCUGAUUUUGCAGUUAAGUUGCUGUAAUAGAACACUUUAUGAAUGACAAGGAGCAAACUAGAUCCCCUCACACCAAAAGUCUAAGGGAAAUAAUUUUACCUCAUUUUUUGGUAUAGCCUUUUUAAAUAACCAGAGCAUAUAAAAAUGCUGCACACUUCUCAGA
rnacentral:lncRNA from 1 species